AUUGAACGCUGGCGGCAUGCCUUACACAUGCAAGUCGAACGGAUUCAAGGGGCUUGCUCCUUGAGUUAGUGGCGAACGGGUGAGUAAUGCAUCGGAACGUGCCCAGUCGUGGGGGAUAACGUAGCGAAAGUUACGCUAAUACCGCAUACGUCCUGAGGGAGAAAGCGGGGGACCGAAAGGCCUCGCGCGAUUGGAGCGGCCGAUGUCAGAUUAGCUAGUUGGUGAGGUAAAAGCUCACCAAGGCGACGAUCUGUAGCUGGUCUGAGAGGAUGAUCAGCCACACUGGGACUGAGACACGGCCCAGACUCCUACGGGAGGCAGCAGUGGGGAAUUUUGGACAAUGGGGGCAACCCUGAUCCAGCCAUGCCGCGUGAGUGAAGAAGGC
rnacentral:rRNA from 1 species